AGUGAACGCUGGCGGUAUGCCUAACACAUGCAAGUCGAACGGCAGCACAGUAAGCGCUUUCUCUUACGGGUGGCGAGUGGCGGACGGGUGAGGAAUACAUCGGAAUCUACUUUUUCGUGGGGGAUAACGUAGGGAAACUUACGCUAAUACCGCAUACGACCUACGGGUGAAAGCAGGGGAUCUUCGGACCUUGCGCGAUUGAAUGAGCCGAUGUCGGAUUAGCUAGUUGGCGGGGUAAAGGCCCACCAAGGCGACGAUCCCUAGCUGGUCCGAGAGGGUGAAUCGGCAAAACGGGACCUGAGAAAGGCCCAAGAUCCUUACGGGAGGAAGCGGUGGGGAAUUUUGGCCAAGGGGGGAAAGCCUGUCCAAGCAAGCCGGGUGGGGGGAAGAAGGCUUUCGGUUGGUAAAGGCCUUUUGUUGGGAAAGAAAAGCAGCAGGUUAAUCCCCCGCUGUUUUAACGGUACCGAAAGAAUAAGAACGGCUUACUUUCGU
rnacentral:rRNA from 1 species